rnacentral:snoRNA from 1 species
UGACAUAACUUUUUUCCCCAUCAGAUCGACCCUGUUGAUCUAAAUAACCAUCAGCCAGUUUGGUCUGA